GGUGCUAUAUAUCUAGAAAUUUUCCAACAUGCCCAAUUGUGUAGCACCAAAUAUGGGCACUCAGUCAUUGACUGUUGGCAUAGGUUUGCAAAUAUGCUCGAUCCAUCUUAUCCGGUCAAUGAUAGGAAAUUCUCCAUUUGGUGGAGGUAUCUUAGGUUAUCUAUGGGUGCUUGGGGUUCUAAGCUUAACUUGUUUGGAGAUAACAUCUCUUGCAAAUUUGGCAACGAUUUCG
rnacentral:lncRNA from 1 species